GCAACGCGGGCGCCUGGGCGGUGUCCCCUCCUAAGGAGAUGUGAAGGGGCGCUGGCCCGGAGCCCUGCCUUCGUGCCCCUGCUGCUCCAGCGCGGGCCCCCGGGGCGCCAGUCCUGCUGCAGAGCUCACCACUGAUGUAUUACCACCAAACAGAGCGGGCCGUCUGGAGCCCUUGAAGGGACUCUUCAGAUCUUUUAUCCAAGCAUCUCUGUGGAGCAAAAAAUAAAAGGAUGUUCGUACAUCAGUACCAGCACAACAGAAAUGCCCUGAGCUCCACGUUGCUGAGAAGCCAGGGCACUAGAUCCUCAGUGAAGCCAGGCAGCUGUGACUCAGGGCCAGGAUGGCCUCUGCCUCGGAAAUGUGUGAUUCUUCUCUCCACGCACAGAUGUUUCACUUUCAAAGGAGACAACAAAGGAACAGAACUGAGCUGCUGAAGUUGGAGGAAACACAAUUUUAUAACCAACGCUUGACAGAGAAGGAAAUUGAGUCACAUGAG